GAUGAACGCUGGCGGCGUGCCUAAUACAUGCAAGUCGAGCGAACAGACGAGGAGCUUGCUCCUCUGACGUUAGCGGCGGACGGGUGAGUAACACGUGGAUAACCUACCUAUAAGACUGGGAUAACUUCGGGAAACCGGAGCUAAUACCGGAUAAUAUAUUGAACCGCAUGGUUCAAUAGUGAAAGACGGUUUUGCUGUCACUUAUAGAUGGAUCCGCGCCGCAUUAGCUAGUUGGUAAGGUAACGGCUUACCAAGGCAACGAUGCGUAGCCGACCUGAGAGGGUGAUCGGCCACACUGGAACUGAGACACGGUCCAGACUCCUACGGGAGGCAGCAGUAGGGAAUCUUACGCAAUGGGCGAAAGCUUGACGGAGCAACGCCGCGUGAAUGAUGAAGGUCUUCGGAUCGUAAAACUCUGUUAUUAGGGAAGAACAAAUGUGUAAGUAACUAUGCACGUCUUGACGGUACCUAAUCAGAAAGCCACGGCUAACUACGUG
rnacentral:rRNA from 1 species